rnacentral:lncRNA from 1 species
AUGGAGAGUUUGGGAGUUUUGUCUGUUCUCGCCACCGCUUGUGUUUUGGGAGUGGUGAUGAGUCAGACAACACUCAGUCCUGCUGUGACGAUCACCACAGCCAGUGCAAACAUGACCACUGCUGCUCCCAGCACUACAGCGCUCAGCUGCUCCGGCCUCAACACUUCCACCUGUGCUGCCUGCGCUCCUGGCUCUUAUUAUGAUAAUGAAACUCUGUUGUGUUCUUGCUGUCCUGAGGCCGGGCUGUGUGUGUUCCCUGGAGCCUGUCUUCUGUGUGUGCAGGGUUUCUAUCAGCCUCUAGCAGGACAGCAGGGCUGUCUGCCCUGUUUAUCUGGGUUUUACAGCAAGUGAGAGGAGAAAGUAUUACACUGUUGUUUAUUUGAAGCAUAUGCAGUCUUUCCAUGCCAAGGCUUUAACCAUUUUUUCAUUAGUUCCACUGGAAGCCCCGUCUGCCAGCCGUGUCCUACUGGGUCCUACAGCAAUAACACGGGCUCUGCCUCCUGUACAGCCUGUGCACCAGGUAACAAGUGACAUGCAUACAUAUGUAAAUUCAUUCAUUCAUUCAUUCUGCUUUCCUACCUAAAUAAAUUGACAUAUUGAGAGGUGGAGAAAAAACAAACGCAAAUGCAACUAUUGAAAUACUGAGGGGAAAUAAGAAUUUAGAUUCAUUUAGAAUUUUUUAUUAAAAUACAUAAAAGUGUAUCAUUGUAUAUUUCACUGGAAUCAUUAAAAAUUAUUCUUUAUUACAUAAAAGUACAUGUAUCUAUGAAAAAUAAAAAGCAUAAGUAUUAUAUACCUUAUAGUACAGUUAUGAGAUGUAAAAUGUUAUCUGAAAUUAAACAUUUAAUAAAGCAUACAAAAUAUAUUGUACUGUUUCUUUUCUUCUCUUUGCAAAAUUCAACAUCAUGUAACCCAUGUCCACAAGGCAUGUACUGCAAGUAAGUCCUUUUCUGAACACUGCACCAUAAAUAAAUACAUCACAGACUUUGAGUAAUAUACACUUUUAUUUUUAUUUAUGUGUACUUAUUACAUUUUUAUUAGAUUUGUAAUUAAAAAAAAUUCAACUUUGGAUAUUUAAUAAUAUUUAGUUUUGUUCUUGUUUUUAUUUUAAGGAAUCAGUACAAUAUCUUGAUAUUUACAGAUUAAAUGCUUUGAUGUGUUUACAUAAAGGUUAAAUUAUAUGGCUAUUAAAAUGAACCAUCUCCAUUCAUAGACUUGAUGACAUUCUCUCAAAUUUCAGUGCUGUGCUUUGUUUUCCUAAUAUGUUAGUCGUCACAGCGGCGUCAUUGCAGUGCCACAGAACUGACAGAUUUCUUUGUUACAAUUCUUCUUUCUGCCCCUUUGAUAGUUCCUCCAGCUGUACUCAGUGUCAGGUCUGUCCUGCAGGCUCAGAGGCUCUACAGACCGCUUCCAAAGAAUGCACACCUUGUCGCCCAGGUAUCAUCUUCUUUUAGCCACAUUGCUUACUCAAAUUAUAGGAAAAUGCAAACUAAUAAAAUGUAUUUUCUUUCUGCUAUAAAACUCCGGAGACCGAUGAAUCCAUGUUACUCAGAAAUAUGACAGACAUGAUGAAAUCGAUUAUAUCAGUGUGAUAUACAAGUUUUGCCAUAGUACAGUACAUGAAUGAAGGUCUUUUGUUGAAUAAGAAAAUCUGAAUUUCCACACUUAUGAAACUCAAAUGUCAUCAAUAUUUUUUUUGACAGGAAUGCACAAGCCUGCCCAUCAAAUCAUUUGUCAGAUUUGCAGCAGGGGUUUCUAUCAGAUCCACUGGGGCCAGGAGAACUGUGACCGGUGUCCUGAAAACCACUACUGCCCUGUGAGUGAUUACUUCCUCUAAACACACACACAGUCUUUACUGUUACCACUGAACUUGUCCCUCUUGCUUAAAAUGGAAAUCAUGUACUGUUUUUUUUAAUACUUCCUCGUUUAUCUAAGAACAUUCUAAAUGAGAGCAUAUUUAUGAUUACAAAUAUGUGUCACUACAUAGAAUAAAUGUACUUCUGUCUAUAUAAACCAGAGUCCUGAUGUAAAUCCGAUCGAGUGUCCCAGUGAUGCGUUCUGUCCCGAGGGCAGCACGGCCCCUGGUUACUGCAUGGAGACCUUCUUCAGAAAGGCAGGGGAGACGUGUGAACUUUCUCCUGUUACCAUUGCACUGCUUGUUAUUGGAGGAGGAGGUAUCAAGCUAAAUUUAUUAUAGAACUUAUUAAUUGGUCAGUAUUCGAUUUAAGAUUGUUUGGUAAUGUUUUAAGGCGGGGUUUAGCAAAAGGUCAGUUGUCGCUCUUAAAUGAUUCUUCUCCUCCACAGUGGGUCUUCUCUUCAUCAUUAUUUUGGUUCUGCGGAGGAGAAGAGAUAAUGACAGCGAGCUUUCCCUUGCCCGGACCCCCCUCCUGCGUAAAAGACCGCCCACGUGGUCGCUUCUAUGGAAUCCCUUGUGAUGCUGAGCCUGUUUAUGCAGGCUGGUGACGUCACAUGACCAUGUACAUACCUCACAGAUUUUGUCUGAAAGUUUCUAUUUAGAACUUUGAACUGUUGUAAGCUUUAUAUUGGUAAGAUACUAUUAAAUAUUUAAUGAAUGAAGACGCACUUUUCUGCAUUCCAUUUUUAAAACCUGUUUACUACUGACCGUGUUGUGAAGUUACAUCUCUUUUGAUUCCGCCUGCUUUUCUUGUAUUUAAUGUGAUGCGUCUCAUUAAUUUUAAAACAGAAUAUUUUAGACAAUUUCCAAGGUUGUAAACUGCAAUAAACAGCUUUUCACAACUUUGAUAUAAAAGUGUGGUGUCUCUAUGAAAGAUUGAUGGGUUAUUCCUGAAACUUUCCUUCAGAAAUCCCCAACAUGUGCUUUCAGUAUCUGAACUGUCAUAAGACAAAUCCAGUUUUAUUGAUCAUACUUUAAUAAAAAAAAACUUUAAUUACAAAAAUAUAUUUUAAUAAUAAAAUUCACAUUGUUAAAAAAAUGGUUUAAUCUCUUAUUGCAUAAUUCUAUAAAAUAUAUUUUUUUAAAUAUAUAAGCCAUAGAAGGUAUAGUAAUGCUGCUGCAUGCAUACCAGUAAGGUUUCAGUACUAUGGCAGGCAGAAUUGAAAUAAAACUGGUUUGACUAUCCAUAAUACUUACAAUUGUAUUUUGACAAGACAUCAUUAUAAUUUGAUUAGUAAGAGUAGUAAAUAAAGAUAUUUGCAAUUAUAAUUGGACAAGUAAGAAAUCUGAUUAGAGAUAUCUCUAAAAACUUUAAAUAAAUUAGUGUGUAGAUUGAGUGUUCUCUGCAUACCUUACGUCAUUAAUUUUAAAACAGAAUAUUUUAGACAAUUUCCAAGGUUGUAAACUGCAAUAAACAGCUUUUCACAACUUUGAUAUAAAAGUGUGGUGUCUCUAUGAAAGAUUGAUGGGUUAUUCCUGAAACUUUCCUUCAGAAAUCCCCAACAUGUGCUUUCAGUAUCUGAACUGUCAUAAGACAAAUCCAGUUUUAUGAUCAUACUUUAAAUAAAAAAAAAACUUUAUUACAAAAAA